UUCAGCGAAGCACAUAUUUACAGUUUUUAAACGAUCCAACACUGAUAUCGCGAUAUUCGGGCGUAACUUUUUGCUCGGAUGAAUGUGGCAGGCUCAAGGACGCCGGCGUCUCGCCGUCAGCGAGUGCGCAGCGCGGAGCAAUACAGCAUUGUCACCUGAGCCGCUAACUGCUAACUGGAAGCCCGCGAAAUUCUUUCCUCGUAGACGCAUGAGACGCUCCGUGAAGUUUUAAGUGUUUAGAAGUGCAUCUAGUGUUUGGUCUUUGGCCGACUGUACCCCCGCAAAGCAAAGGUGAGUUGAAACUCUGUUUCGUUGUUCCACUACUAUACCAAGUCAAAUAAGCACCACUUGUAUGCAUGGUUGAAAAAAUUGUUUCGUUGCAGACGCGUUUCAGCAACGGUGUGCAACAGCAGGAGAGCAGUGUCUGUGUGUGUCACUGUGUGUGGAUCAUGAGUAGAAACGUAAAGAGUUGCCUAACCUUUAGUUAUUCAGGGGGAGGCUACUGAAAUAAUUUGUGUUUUGCUGUGAUCUCGCACUAAAAAUUGAUAAAUGUUGUGACUCUAUUUUCCCCCUUGGAGCUGGAGUAAACAGAAUUCCUCUGUUGUGGAAGGUUCACCUGAAGGUGUCCCAAUCUCCAAAGUGGAUAUCAUUCCGAUAUGGCCUGUUAUACUUUCCAUUGAAAUCUGUUGCAUUUGCACUAUAGGAAGGCCUCCUGUCUGCAAAAUUGCAAUCCUCUACAGUUUACAAUUCAUCAAAGAGGUCACAUUUCACAGUCUUUCCAGACAAAUGUACCUUUACUAGUCAAAGCGGCGUCAAAAUUUUCACCAGUAACAGUUUCCUGCUCGCACAGCUGAAGGCUGUACAUAAAUGGAUCCCUUUUUGCACUCUCUUGGUAGGUGGUAUACGGGUGCACUUUGUUCCUGCAGAAAUUUUCAUCUCGUCGAGCUCUUUUCGACCAUCUGCUAUCACAUGAAGAUUUUGCAAGUGGUGUUCCUUGCACCAUAGAGGGACCUAAUGCUGCUUCUAAGAACUAUAGAACCAAUUCCUCCAGGUGUCAUCCUGACGAAAUGCCAACACAUUCAACACAAAAAGUAUUGUCUCAAAAGUUUUGCUCUCUGACUUCUUGCAGCCAGCAGUGUGGACAGUGAGGAAGCACAUAUUGCACGCUGAAAACAUCACCUCAUUACAGAUGCAUCGUGCACUGUGAGUUGACAGUCCCUUCUUGUGUGCUUCGACAGUCACUAUCCAUGGGACUCAACAUACAACAGGACACUACCUUGUGGUCUCCAGAGACGAGUACAACCUGUGCUAUGGGAAACUGGUACACAUCUUUGUGGAAACUGGCCCGGAGGUGAUGCCAAUUUUUCUUUUUCGCAUAACGCCAUCAACCUUCCUACUAGACCUCAUGCUAUACCAUCUUGAAUCUCAGAAUAUCACUGCUCAACCAUGAUUAUGGAGGCGUUUCUGAAGAUCAGGAGUAGAGAUCACAAAACGAAAAACUUGGUGUCAGUAACAUGUCUUGAG